CCUUAUCAUUCUACUGUCCAGACGUUAAUCGAUCGCUGGACGGAGAACUGAUAAGGGC
rnacentral:pre_miRNA from 1 species